rnacentral:rRNA from 1 species
GAUGAACGCUGGCGGCGUGCCUAAUACAUGCAAGUCGAGCGAACAGAUGAGGAGCUUGCUCCUCUGACGUUAGCGGCGGACGGGUGAGUAACACGUGGAUAACCUACCUAUAAGACUGGGAUAACUUCGGGAAACCGGAGCUAAUACCGGAUAAUAUAUUGAACCGCAUGGUUCAAUAGUGAAAGACGGUUUUGCUGUCACUUAUAGAUGGAUCCGCGCCGCAUUAGCUAGUUGGUAAGGUAACGGCUUACCAAGGCAACGAUGCGUAGCCGACCUGAGAGGUGAUUCGCCACCCUGGAAACUGGACAACGGCCCAAACUCUAAGGGAGGGCGCAGGUGGGAAUUCUUCGGAAAGGGCGGAAGCCCUACCGAGCAAACGCGGCGUGGGGAAGGAGGUCCUCCGGUUCGUAAACCCCUGUAUUAGGGAAGAACAAAUGUGUAAGUAACUAUGCACGUCUUGACGGUACCUAAUCAGAAAGCCACGGCUAACUACGUG